GCAGCCCUUGCCCGGCCGCGGCCUCUCCUCCCGCCGCGGGUCCGGCAGGCUCGUUAUGGCGCUGCCGGUGCUGUCGAGCUCGGCCGUGAAGUUCCGGCGGGUCCUGGCACACUUCCCGCAGGAGCUCAGCCUGGCCUUCGCCUACGGCUCGGGGGUGUUCCGGCAGGCGGGGGCCGCGGCCGAGCACGGCGAGAACAAUAUGCUGGAUUUCGUAUUUGCUGUUGAUGAUUCUGUGACCUGGCAUAUGAUGAACUUGUUAAAGAACAGGAAUCAUUAUUCCUUCCUAAAAUUUUUUGGGCCAAAACAGAUAACUAGUAUGCAGAGCUACGGAGCAGGAAUUUACUACAACACUUUAGUGCCAUGUAAUGGUAGGAUGAUAAAAUAUGGUGUAAUUAGCACUGAUACCCUGAUUGAUGAUUUAUUUCACUGGAAAACCCUCUAUGUCGCUGGGCGCCUACAAAAGCCGGUGAAAAUACUGACACAGAAUGAGAAUAGCAAGCUGCAAGCUGCUCUUGUUAGCAACCUGAAGAGUGCAGUCACAGCAGCCUUUCUCAUGUUACCAGAAAGUUUCUCUGAAGAAGACCUCUAUAUGCAGAUUGCAGGACUCUCCUACUCUGGUGAUUUCAGAAUGAUAAUAGGAGAAGACAGGUCGAAAGUGCAGAACAUAGUGAAACCCAACAUACCCCAUUUUCAGAAGCUGUACAGUACCAUAUUACAGGACUGCCCUCAAGUGGUGUAUAAGCACCAUCUGGGAAGACUAGAGAUUGAUAAAAGUCCAGAAGGUCAAUUUGCACAACUAAUGGCUUUGCCAAAGAAUCUGCAGCAAAAGAUAACUUCUCUGGUAAACCCUCCUGGAAAAAACAGAGAUGUGGAAGAAAUUUUACUGCAAGUUGCCCAUGACCCUGACUGUGGAUUUGUGGUGCAUCAAGGCAUUUCAGGAAUUGUGAGAUCUUCCAGUAUAGUGCAGAGUGCUAAAACCAUACUGACAGCUGGGGCAAAGAAAUCUGUAACUUACAGUAUGAAGAAAUUAUAUAAAAUGACAAAGGGAUGGUUAAAGAAGACAUCUUGAGUCUUGACGUAGUAUGUAUGGGUGUGCUCGGUGGGAAGCUCUUAAGAACAGAAAACACUGAUCCCAGUGCUAGAAACACACCCUGACAGAUAAAAAGCUUUUGGACAAAUGAACAGCCUGAGAAAAGAUUCAGGAUGGAGCCAUGGCCUUCUGAAUGAAAUAGUUACCAGCUUUGUUCUUUUUCUUUGAAGGCUGUGUGAGAAGGGGUCUAAGAGAGCCUUCACUCCUUCCAGAGAGGAGGACGCCAACCACUGGUGAGGAUUUGUCCUCAACAAAUUCAGAGAGAUCAUUCCUAGUGAACCUGUAUUUUUCUGUGUGAAUUCUGUUCCUCUAGUCAACUUUUGGAAAAUAAACACUGUAAGCAGAAAAACGGAGUUGGUUUUGUGUUUUUAAGAAGUGCCAGUUGCUGCACACUGGACUGUUAGAAAUCUAUUCCAUAUACUGAAUACAUUACCAGAUAAUUAAGGCUAACAACUAAAAUGUUAUUGCAGAUUUUGCCUCAUUUAUUUCCUCUUUGUGUCCAUAAAUGAAAAUGUAACUAUUGCAUUUCUGAUCCCCAUAAUUCCCUCAAGGCUGCAGGCUUUACUAGGCAUUGCAUAGAAAUCUACAGGCUGACAGAAAACAAAAGGACAUCUGUGGUGCACAGAUGGAGCUAAAAGUUUUCCAUAGAAUAAGCAAUAUGACCAAAUUAAGAAAAAAAGAGGCAGUGGCAAAACUAAGACACUUAGAUUUUAAUAAGCUCAUUCCUUCCUCCUGUAAUAGUGGAAUGUAGUGAAGUUUUAAACAUCAUGAGGCAUUGAACAAAACCAUCCUGACGAGCCCGUGCACUCUUUUCUUUUGUUUCCUUAACACAAAAAGGUGAGACUGGGGCUUUUUAACCUGGUUAAAUAACAGCACCACAGGAUAGGAAACCAUAAAUUGUAACUGCUUCAAGCACUGGUUGAGAGGGGUCAUGUGUCAUAAGAUUGCUCAACAUCUGGUUGAGAAUUCCUAUUAGCAGAGCAUUUAAUCACAUGCUUGACUUAAAAUGCAUAGGUUAGCACUGUUUUUGAAUAGGGAUGUAAUUCCUUUUUGACAUAAUGGCAACAUAUAGCUUGGCCUUGAAUCUACAGGAGUAAAAAAAAUUGUACAAAUCCUUGAUGUAGAGAGUUGUACAGUACAGUUGGACAUGGCUGACCCCCUCCUGGGACACAGCUGCCACAUAAGUAAAGGCUGGAUUCUAACAGCUCAUUCACUCUGGUGAUUUUUAUUUGUUACCUUGAAGUUGUGGCUGUUUUCCCUUCUGUUGAGAGAGGAUGCCUUAGAGAUAUGUGUGCACCAGAACUUUAAAUAGAGUAUCUUGUGGGGAUAUCUUGUAUCCUGAGAGGCUCAGUGUUUCUCCUUCUCUGCAGUUUCUCACUAUUGGUGAGUUUGGGGAUAAGCAGCAGUUAAAUCUGGAAUUUUUUAAUGAUGAAAUGCAGUUGUAACUCUAGGGAAGCAUUUGAAAGAGCAGCUUUCUUUAAAAACCCUUAGUAAUACAGUCAAAGAUAAUGUCCUGAAUAUUAAAGUAAGACAUUUAAGAGUGGGUUUGGUGUUUCAGAAGCUGCUUGCCCCUGAAAUGGUGCUUCAAAACAUUAGAAGGCAAAAACAAGUCUGUGAUGUGAGAAUGAGUUGGCCUCAUUCCUACAGUGAAACAGCAGUCUUCAUCCUGCACCUUGCUAGCUGAGCAAGGGCAUUUAUUCAAGAAAUAAGGUUCUCCUAGAAAAAAAAAGGUAACGUACUGCUUGCUGUCUAGCAGCUAAUUAACCAUUUUUAUGUGCAGCAGAUGCUGUGUGGCAUCAGGCCCUCCCAACCCUUACACUGUUUGUCCUACCAUGGAUUGCUCUGCCCCUCUACAGGUGUUACUUUACUGAAGUUUGCCUGUAACCUGAGCUGGUCAUGUUUGUCUUACAUUGCUGGAUACCCCCUGCAUAUCUUGAUUUUGCUUUAUGAACUUCCUUUGUGUACAGCACUAUAAUGGGUCACUUCUUGCUCUUUGAAGAGAGUUUUGCAAAUCCUAGUUUAAUAGUUCCUAGUUCACUCCAUCUGUUGAUACAUUGCCAGUAUCUAAGUCUGUGCACUAAAUCUUUGUGAGACUUAAGUCCUUCCUUGUCAUCCAUAUAGGCUGAAAUCUUCAACUGUAUUCUGUUCUGUAAAUCAUUUAUCUCUGUGCCUUUUAAGAAGUGGCCUACCUUUCCCCUUGGGGCCAUUGGUCUUGAACGUAUUUAUUUUUUUGGCAGAAUGCCAUGAAUGAAUCAUAGCCCUGAGCAGCUCAGCCUGGGCUCCUCUCGAUUGUUAAUAGGGAAUACUUGGGGCAGUUGUUACAACGCCUUGCUCUGGGAGACUUUUAAGAGAAGAGAGAUUGAUUUCAGACUUGUUAGUUGCUUUUGAAGUUCCUCAACAGUAUGUGGAAAUGAUUUCUUACGGUUGUACAGCUGUAAUGCACUAAAAUAACUCGUGAUUGUUGAAUGGGAAGUUGGUACAUGGGAAUAUGUUACUAACUCUUUGUCCUAAUGAGGUGUUUGCUCUUUCACAAAAAAUAAUCACUUCAGCUUUUCAUUCCAUUUGUAACUUUCCUGUUUAUACCUUCCUGCUCCAUUUCCAUACUGCUUUAUUGUUUCUCUUCUUGACUUAAUUCUCAAGUCUUUCAUUCUGUUCUUCAGACAUCCCUCUUUUUUGGUUUCGCUGUCCCACAUGGAUAUUGUUUCAUACUCCCUCCCUCUUUUUCUUGUGUAACAGUGCUUUCAUUAAAGGCAACCAGGCAGAUGAUUUAUUUCUGAUGUCUUAAAAGGCUUCUUUGUAAUGAAGAGCCUGGAGCCAAGCAAACCACUAAGGAUUUCCAUAGGUGAGUCAGCAGCAUGGGCCUGGCUGGCUCUGAGACCCACGGUGCCCACAGUGAAGUAUGGAACUAUCUCAUGCUUCAGAGGGAAUGAAGUAGAUGACAAUGUGAAAUCAAAAUUUGACUGGAUACAUCACCAUAGAUUCUGGUUUCCACUUCUUUGUUAACUUGUCCACUGUUGUGAGCAGCCCAUUUGGCUAGCAGUGGGAUGUUUGGCUGCUCCUAAACUUUGGAUUUGGGCAGUGCACAGAGCCGUAGGACACAGUAUGCUGACCUCCUCCAUCAGCAUUCGUGGGAUGUGUUCUUUAUCACGUGCACAUUUCCCAUUUUCCAGGUGUUUGAGCACUGAGUUUCUCCAGCUGGUUGGCUGUAGGACCCCUCAAAUACCACCUGUAUUGAGUGCACCUGACUUAGUUUUAACUGCAGAGCCUGUAUUUCUCACCUGUGCUUCAGGGAGGCUUCUCUUUAGAUUUGGUUGACCUUUAGUGUGAGGGAAUUGGACCAGCAGAUGGGGAGUAAUAGCUGCAACCUGAUCAUAAACAAGGUGCCUGUAGGUUAGCACACAGCUGAGCAAGUGGGAUCCCUUUCUGUUAGAGGGAUGCACUUUGGAGUAUUCCAGAGCUUCCUGAUGUUUGCAACAAAAAUCUUUGCCAAAUUGGGAAGAUAAAGAUGGAUCCAGAGACCAGUAUUUCUGGGUUGCUUAGGGAACUGAACUGUGAGGUCCUUGUUCUUCACACUGAGGUAGUAAUGCUACAUCCUGUUCUGACUUGGGAAAUUUCAGAAUAAACAGGGCCCUUGGUGAGUGUCCAGUGGAGGGGGAUCCAAGCAGGGUUGUGACUCAUGCCUUUUCCCAGCAAUUAAUUCAAAAAUAGAAUUGACACUGAUGCUUUGAAGGUCAGAAUGCCAGGUCAGUGUGUGUCUGAUAGUUUUUCAUGGGUAAGGUGUUGAUAGAGGACAAAGUAUUCUUCAUUUUCAAAUUCAGUUCUGCUGGCCUAUGUUCUAUGUAGAAAACGAAUUUUCUUUGUAUUAUCUACUGCAGGAAGAAGAGACAUUACCUCUGCAUAGGUAUUUUCUGGCAUAUUUUUUGUCUGAGUGAACAGCUGCUCUGUCACUUUUGAUACUGUGGUUUCACAAAAUUUUGCAGUGACCUUAUUUACCUGUUUUUCUAGAUAAAAAUUUACAUCACAGUUGCUAACUGAUCCUGAACUUAAUGACUGCCUUAGGGAGAGGCAGGAAUCACUUUACUCUUGCACAUUUUAACCUCUUACUCAGACUGGUUAAAUCAGAGUUGUUAAGAAAUGGGUUAAAUUUUAGUACAUGAACAGGAAGCUUUGGACUAUAUACAUUCUGAAAUUAUUCAUGAAAGCUGCAAAUGUUUUAGUUACACCUUCAGUAGAACUUUCAUGUCAUUUUUGCCUUCACAAUUCAGCAUUCUGCCCAAACCUUUUCAUUAGUGGUGGGUGGCUAUUUUGACGAUUAUGCACAUUUUUUUCCUGAGAAAUUGAAGAUACUGUAGCUGUAAAGGCAAUAUUCUGAACUGACUGAAACUUCAUGCAAGUGUCAUGGCUAUAGAGGAUUCCUCCUGCUUUUGAAUUUGAAUAGAAUUUGAUUCUUGGGAGCUUGCAACCACAGGGGACAGUCUUUAAAAACAAAACAAACCAAAAACUGUGUCUUUUGGUUCCUUCACUUGCUUUUGUUGUACUGUGAGACCUGCUCUGAAAGACUCGAGCCUGAUGUUUAAGAUACCUCCCCUACUGGUUAAAUAGGCCAAGUAAAUGGUAAAAUAUCUCAUUUAUUUAAUUAAUUUGUAUUACUUCUCUACAUGGAAUCUAUCUAGCUCUAUGAAAUACUUGGUAAAUUUGAAAGGUUCUGCUCCCACAGAGAGGAUUAUUUUUUUAAUCUCUGCUUCCUGCCAAAGCUUCUCCAAACCUUGGUAUCGAAGCAUGAAGGUGGUGGGGGGGGGACAUUCAAUGGAGUUUUUUUUGUUUUGUUUGUGAUUUUGGUUUGUUCUUUUAAUGUUGCCAUCCUCAAGCUGUCUUGCUCUUAGCAGUGGUGAAAUGUCUGGCUCACUCCUUGUAUGAGACAGCAGUGAGAGCCAAGAAGUUUGGCUCCUUAAAAUGUUUUGAAAAGUGGUGCAGGACAGGGGGCAGAGCUGACAUAAAGCAGCCUCCCAAUGUCUGUCUCAUGAUAUUGUCACAGUGCUUUGGCAUUACAGCCUGGGGCAAGGCUUUUGAAAACCAAAUUAUUUGCACAAUAAAUUCUAGACUAUUUCUUUUUUUCUUUUUUUUUUCCUCCCUCUGUUUUUUCUCCCCUC